rnacentral:rRNA from 1 species
UGGGGAAUUUUGGACAAUGGGGGCAACCCUGAUCCAGCCAUGCCGCGUGCGGGAAGAAGGCCUUCGGGUUGUAAACCGCUUUUAUCCGGGACGAAGGAGUGGAGGUGAAUAGCCUUCAUGACGGACGGUCUGGAGGAAUAAGCACCGGCUAACUACGUGCCAGCAGCCGCGGUAAUACGUAGGGUGCGAGCGUUAAUCGGAAUUACUGGGCGUAAAGCGUGCGUAGGCGGUUGGCAAAGUCAGCUGUGAAAGCCCCGGGCUUAACCUGGGAAUGGCGGUUGAAACUAGUCGACUCGAAUCUGGCAGAGGGGGGUGGAAUUCCACGUGUAGCAGUGAAAUGCGUAGAGAUGUGGAGGAACACCGAUGGCGAAGGCAGCCCCCUGGGCUGAGAUUGACGCUCAGGCACGAAAGCGUGGGGAGCAAACAG